GGGGGCCUGCGGAGGGAUCAUUACACAAAUAUGAAGGCGGGCUGGAACCUCUCGGGGUUACAGCCUUGCUGAAUUAUUCACCCUUGUCUUUUGCGUACUUCUUGUUUCCUUGGUGGGUUCGCCCACCACUAGGACAAACAUAAACCUUUUGUAAUUGCAAUCAGCGUCAGUAACAAAUUAAUAAUUACAACUUUCAACAACGGAUCUCUUGGUUCUGGCAUCGAUGAAGAACGCAGCGAAAUGCGAUAAGUAGUGUGAAUUGCAGAAUUCAGUGAAUCAUCGAAUCUUUGAACGCACAUUGCGCCCUUUGGUAUUCCAAAGGGCAUGCCUGUUCGAGCGUCAUUUGUACCCUCAAGCUUUGCUUGGUGUUGGGCGUCUUGUCUCUAGCUUUGCUGGAGACUCGCCUUAAAGUAAUUGGCAGCCGGCCUACUGGUUUCGGAGCGCAGCACAAGUCGCACUCUCUAUCAGCAAAGGUCUAGCAUCCAUUAAGCCUUUUUUUUCAACUUUUGACCUCGGAUCAGGUAGGGAUACCCGCUGAACUUAAGCAUAUCAUAAAGCCGGGA
rnacentral:rRNA from 1 species